AUCGAUACUAUCGAUAUUUGGAUCGAUCCGCGCAUCCCUUCUAAUAAGCGUCAAUUACAUGCAAAUGGACCUUAUGCAAAUUAGGCGAUGACGUCAUUUAGCGACUUCUAGCGACUUUUAGGACAGCCAAUAGCUACUUUCCUUACUGAGGAGUUGGCAACACUGAGUGAAGAAGCAGUAGAGAGUGCAGUGCUAUAAUACUGGUACAUGAGUGAUAAACAUGUGCAUAUCGACCG